UUCAUGGACAUGUCUUUUUUCAACCUUACUUACUAUGUUACUAUGUUACUAUGUCACACUCAACACUCCGCUGGUAUAGAUACUGCAGUUGAGAAAACAGGUCUAUCAGUGCAUAUUUUUGCAUUUCUGUAUCUAAAUCUGUCCCCGUGUAGGUGGACAGGAGCAUAGUGGCUGAGUGUGACACUGCCCUUAUAACUAUAUUUUUUUCUUUAUAAAUAGGAAAGGAAAAUAACUUUCAUUAUAGAGAGUUAUAUUGUACUUCACUAACAAGGUUUAUAAAAUAUGAACUGAAAAGCUGGAUCCAAUUAGAUUUAUUAGGAUCAUUUGAUCAGUUGAUUCUAGAAUAGAAAAUGCGGUUGGCAGUUGACCUCUGUCUAUGUAUGUCUAUGUGGUUGCAUCUGUCUGUGAGGGCUAAAUGAUUGGAUCUCACAGGAAAUGGGUUGUUUGUGGCUGGCUUCACAAGGAUACAUGUCUUCAUACAAUAGACUCAGAACAAAUCUAUGCAGUUUACUCACUGCUCUCUGCUAUAAAAGCAAAUGCGUGCCUCUAUUUUUAGACCUCUGCAAGGAAAGAAAAUUGGAAUGAUAACAUAUAGAAACAUACACUGUGGUGCAAGAAACUAAAAUGUAUUUGAAUAAAAAUACAAGUAACUCAACUAAACGGCUUUAGGUUUUUAUCUCCUAAAGCCCAAACUUACUUGGGACAACAUUUUGAACAUUUUAAAAUGCUUUCCGAUUUUCUGUUUUCUCAAGCUUUUAUGGAUUUAUUGUGUCUUUAAACUUGAUCUUUUAAAUGGUAUGCUUUUUUUUUUUUUUGCAUCAGAGCACCUGAUAAGAAUAUAAAUCCCAGAAAAAGCCAAAUCCUCCCUUUGAAGUUUCAGCCUUUAAAAAUGGUUUGGCCGCUAGAAACCCCUGAGGGCGUGUAUGUUUUUUUCCCUUCUCUUUCAACCCUUUCCCUGAAUGACUAAAGGGCCGGAUCAUUUUAUGGGCGGCUGCACCAAAUUUGAAAGUUGUCUGCAUAGGAAGGAAUGACAACUAAACUGAAACUAGGGUCAUGAAACCAAUUGUCUACUUGGCCUCAGUCCUUUCGUUCACACACAAUGCUGGCAUUAUCUGCACAAACAAUGGCCGAGGAGUUUGGAAAUUAGCACUCCUUCAACUGCAAGGUCCAGUCUUUUCCCAAAGCUAUUUCAGUGCUAGAUCACUGCACAUUUAAAUUCCUCCUCUUGGGAGAACUUUCACUGAAGGGUCAGUGGCUUUCAUUAAAUACUAUGAUAUGGUGAAAACACAAAUUCCAUGUUUAGACAAAAACAACUUAAAUUAACUUAAUACAGUUAUAUGAAUUUUUCAAAAACCAAUGGGAAAGUGAUGCUAAAAGUAUGCACAAUUUGAGAAUUUUUUUAUAUAUCUCAGCCUUUUCCCUUAGACGCAAUUUUUGCAUCUUAAGGCUUAUGGCAAUUGGUGUAUAUUGCCAGAGCCCUUUCUCCGAGAACCACAGUGAUUAAAACAUUGCAUUUACUGAGAGAAGCUUCUCAUUCAUGUGAAUGAGGAACAAGCUGUGUAAGACAGAAGCUUUAGCCAGGAGGAGGAGAUUGCUUAGGAAUUUGGAAUUUAACAUACCUGGGUGACCCCUGAGUCUGCCAUAAAAAAAGCACAUUUCCCACUGAGACUAAUGAGAAGCUGCUGUCAGUGAACAUAGUGUUGUGAUAAGUGCAGAUCUCAUCGAAAGGACCGUGACGACAUAAGACAAAGUGGAAGUAUUAAUGCAAACAAGUGUUUCUCAAAUGAAACAUCAAUUGUAAUGUGUUUCAUGUUUUAGAUUGCAAAGCAAAGAAUAGAAGGCAUUUCUAUGAAUUGGCUAUGUCCCCAAGUUGUGGUUCUGUUGCUAACCAGCUUAAAAAUCUUAUUUAUAUGUUUAGAAUACUUGCAAAAAAAAAGUCAUAAUUUAAUUUAAUAGGGUCAAAUAUGAAAAUACAAAGACAAUAGCUGUAGACAAGUCUCCCCUCACCUUAAAAAAUCUAGUUUUCACUUUUCACAGUGUAUACCAUUUAUACCAGGUUUACCGUGCCUUUAAAUUCUACGCUAUCAUGGACAACUGAGAACGUUUCUUGUCCACAUCAUUUUGAUUAUGACUUUCUUCUAUCAAAAUGAUUUGUCUUUCGAAGGAUGAAAAGAGUUUCUGCAAAUUAUAUCACAGCAAAUGGUGCAAUGAAGCUUCACAAGUGGUAAUCUCUUCUGCUGUUACCAGACACAAAUUUUUAGCCUUGUUGCUUUUGACAGGCCCAGCUGGGGUUUCUUUUUAAGAGGAAGACCCCUCCUUCCUUUACUGCCAUCUGUUCAAGCGUUUCAUGCUCAGCCUAACAUAUUGUAGUGCAGAGCGUGAGGGAUGGGGCACAUAUUUUUACGGCUGGUUGGCUGAGGAUGGCCUGCAGGUGCCAUAUCUAUGUUGUGUCAGGUGAUAGGCUGGGUGAGAACUCAGAAGGACAGGAGUAAAAAUACAAGCAUUGGAAGGGAACAUUCACCAAAUUGUGGGCAUUGGAGUCAUUGCUGGAGAAAAGAUGGCUGCUGAUACAAUGUUUCAGUGGUACAAGAAGUCAGGGCAAGCAGUGGGAGAAUGUAUUUUGCCUCAUGAGGAAGCUUCGAGCGACUUCGGAAAAUGAAGUGCUCCGAGUGCCAUCCUGCUGGCAGGAGGCAGUUCGGGGAGAUUAGUCAACCCCGAAGAAGAGGAGAUUUGUCGCUGGGCGAUAUAUUUGUGAGCCUGAAGUGCCUCAUCCUCAACAGAAAAAAGUUUGUGUAUUGUACAGAUAGUACAUAUUUUGCAAAGUAGGGCUAAUUCACAAACAGAAAAGUGCAAAGCAGACAACUGUGACUAUCCAAGUGCUAUUCACAAGGGUACAUAUGUCAGUACAAAGCUUGAUCUUCUAAACUGCUUUGAUGAAUAAGGUUCAAAGUACACGGUGCAUGAACUCAAGGGAGCCCUGGAUUUAACACCUGUCUUGAUGAGGUGGUACUUACAGGGUUAUCUUCAGGGUUAUUGUACACAGUGUUUUUCGUUGGCGCACAUAUUGACAUGCUAGAAAUGAUGAAAUCCGCACAACCCUCUGACACAACAAAACAUAAAAGCAACUUGCAUGUGACUUAACAAAGUAGACACAUUUUAUCAUUUGCACUUAUAAAUCACACAGAACUUGAGGUGCAUGCUUCUCAGCAAGAAUUCGGGGAAAUAAUGUUGCAUUUUGUGUAAUAUAACAUGGCAAUUUAUGCCCUGAGUCCCCAGUACAUAAUAAAUCUCCCUGCUGAGAAAACGUAUAUGCUGAAAACCACCAUCAUGCAAGUUUUCAAAAAUACCCUAUGCACCAGAAAAAUUCACAAUAAUAUUACAAUCAAAAAUUACGAUUUUUGUCACUAACAAUACACUGAAAUAUGACUUCUAAAAGGCUUCUUUUGUUACAUUGACUUACCUGUCCCAAACAUUUCCAAAUGGCUGACUCUCAUGUAAAGUAAGCCACUCUAAAACAAGAAAAAAACAUAUAAAUGUUUGUUUUUAUAUUUAGCAAGAAACAUAAACAUUACUAUAUAACAAUGCUAAGAAUGAACAGUAUUGCAUGAUCUGUUUGAGGUUGUGAUGCCAUCCAUUUCAUUUUUCCCAUUAUUGUCUCUUCCAUUAGGGCUCAUUUACAAGCAACCUGUUAAAUGCAGUGUAUAAAAACCAAUUUUGAGUACAACAUUUUUGAUAAUUCUGGCGUCACUGUGGUCUUGAUGGGACAACACACGUGAUACAAUUGUGAUUGAUGAAUAGAAACUUGCACUGUUACCUGCGCUUUUCAUCAUCUUUGGACACAAUUGAGCUGAAAAUAUUUAGAGGUCUAUUAAUCAAAGGUUGUAUUUUAGUGGUUUUAGAGGUUUCUACUCAUCUGUGACUUUCAAAGCCUAUUCCAUCAUAUCCCUAAUAGUAAGUGUGAAAUGCUGCAAUUUCAUAUUUUCAUCAACCAAAAGCAUGAGUGUGCAACAAGAAAACACAAUACCCCAUUAUCAGUGUAUUUAUAGCUAGACAUAAAUGGUUUACUUCCAUGUAAGAGGUCAGAUAAGCCUACAGACUUUUCUUUACUAAACUGCCUGACGUCAUGUUCAUAAGACCUGCAAUAAAAAACAUAUUAUAGAAAAUAUACCCAUAAUUAUAAAGUAUAAUUAAAGUAUCUUAAUAAUGAAUUGCAUUGUUCAAGCAAUUCUUUUGUAGAGAUGAGGGAAGAACUUGAAAACAUGAAACAUUCAGUUCUGCAUUUAAAACACUGAAUUGAAUCCAGUGAAACAGUCUUCAGUCACAAAGGAAAGGAAACAAUUAGAAUCCAUUUUUUUCUAACCCCCUUCUUCCUGUUGAAUAUUUUUGCAGGCUUGUUUGCUUGUCUAGUAAACGCUUACUGCAAAGGUAAUCAGUGAUCUGUUUUACAUUAGCUCGCCUGCUCCAGGGAGGCUCAUGAAGGAUUUCAUUAGCAGCUCCUCCACUAGAACCUGUGUUUUUAUUGAGAUUGUUUAUCUUUCUUAUGCCUUAGGGCUUGUGGGUCAGAAACCAGGGGUGGGGGGUUGCACUACUUCAGAAUUCCCUCCAACAAUCCUUUGCUUCCUACAAUAAUAAGUACAUAAAUAUAUCUAGCUUUACGUGAGCUAGUACUGUAUAUGCUUGCAUGUCAUAAUGGAUCAAACAACUGUGCCCAUAUUUGUGCACUAUUUGUAAUUCAUGCUUUCAUGUAUGUAUCAUGCACAAUUGUGUGUGUUUGUUUGGGGGAAUGCAAAAAGUAUAAAUAGUCUGGAAUAUGCUUCAGAAACAGUGGGGAAACUACCCUGUCAUACAAUAUUGCAAAUAUUUACAUGGUUUCUUGUUGGAACUGUUUCAAGCGGCCUGAGGUAAAUUUAUUUUUCAAUGUUACCAAAAUUAGAUCACAAGAUCCAUAAGCCAAGAAGUAGUUCUGCACACAGCAAAACAGAGAAGAAGGAGGGAAUAAUCUUAAUGUGAGUUAGGGGUCCCCAGUACAAUUCCUAGCAUCUGAUAGUAAACAGACUUGGACCAAUAAGCAUGUAAUUUUUAACAUGGAGAUUAAUGCUGCCUGGAGUGUUGAAAACUGUGUGUGUCUGCAGACCAAAGUUUGACUGCAGCAGGUGAAGGGUGUAUUAUCCAACCUGGAAUGAGCAAUUGUUGUCAAUGAUUGCAAUGGUUGUUUCAGAGGCUUUAAUGUCACUUUUGUGGCCUACUUAUAAAAUCAGCUUUUAAAGUGCUUACAACUUAUAGAAUCCAUGCAACCCCUCCUCUUUACCUUUUCACGCGUGUCUAGUCCCUCACAGCCGGUGACUUUUCAAAUCACAGCCACUGCCUCUGCUGCUAAUAGUUUCUGUCUUGCAGUUCUUUACCUCUAGAACUCUUCAUUUCUUCCCAAGGCCAGUGUCACACUUGCCAUUUUCCUUGCUGACAUAGAUAGUAAAUGUUGAUCAGCAUCAGUAUGCAUCUUUGCUGGAAAUCAGCCUGUGUGUGCUGACGGCUGAUCCCAUGCCGCCAGUGCCUACACAAGACAUGGUAGACAUGAUCAGAUCGGCCUUCUCUCCACUGGAAGAGAAAACUCCAAGUUUGACACUGGCCUAAGAAACUCCCCCUCAGUCUCUUUAAUCCUAAACUCAUCUCAAUUAUCUCCUGAAACACUAAGUGGGGCAGAUUUAUCAAAAUGUGAAAUUAGAACUCACAACAGAAAAACUCACUCACUU